rnacentral:rRNA from 1 species
UAACGGCGUCGAGCGGCGGACGGGUGAGUAAUGCCUAGGAAAUUGCCCUGAUGUGGGGGAUAACCAUUGGAAACGAUGGCUAAUACCGCAUGAUGCCUACGGGCCAAAGAGGGGGACCUUCGGGCCUCUCGCGUCAGGAUAUGCCUAGGUGGGAUUAGCUAGUUGGUGAGGUAAUGGCUCACCAAGGCGACGAUCCCUAGCUGGUCUGAGAGGAUGAUCAGCCACACUGGAACUGAGACACGGUCCAGACUCCUACGGGAGGCAGCAGUGGGGAAUAUUGCACAAUGGGCGCAAGCCUGAUGCAGCCAUGCCGCGUGUGUGAAGAAGGCCUUCGGGUUGUAAAGCACUUUCAGUCGUGAGGAAGGUGGUGGNGUUAAUAGCNCUAUCAUUUGACGUUAGCGACAGAAGAAGCACCGGCUAACUCCGUGCCAGCAGCCGCGGUAAUACGGAGGGUGCGAGCGUUAAUCGGAAUUACUGGGCGUAAAGCGCAUGCAGGUGGUUUGUUAAGUCAGAUGUGAAAGCCCGGGGCUCAACCUCGGAAUAGCAUUUGAAACUGGCAGACUAGAGUACUGUAGAGGGGGGGUAGAAUUUCAGGUGUAGCGGUGAAAUGCGUAGAGAUCUGAAGGAAUACCCGGU